ACAAACAUCCAUACAAACAUCUACCCACGACGUGCGUGCGACGCCAUUUUCUUGUGUUUGCGACUCCACCUCCCUUUCUCUUCGCAACACCCGUGCUGAAGACAGGACGGAGUGCGUCUCGCACAGAACGCAGCACGCUUCGAACCGACCCCAUCACCGCAGCCGUACCCACCGCGCCAUAGAGGAAAAGCACGCAAAAAAAAAAGACAGGAGGCAGCGAUGCAGCGUCUUACGUCUGCCCGACUCUUCAAGGGAGCAUUCAACGCGGGCCAGAAGCGAACCACGAACGCUUCCGCAGGCGCGGCCGCGGCCGCCUCGCGUCCCCAAGCACUGCCUCAGCCCCACCAAGCUUCUACAAUGACGCCGCCGGCGGCUAAGGCAGCCGCCGCGGCGCCACAGGCUUCCUUGACCCGCUCUGCAUCUCUCGUCGCACCCCCAUCGGCAUCGGUUCCGCCAUCGGGCGCGGCGGCGGGCGCGGCGCCGCCAAUGCGCAAAAAGAAAAUCAUCCGCCGCAUCAUAAAGCGCAAGAAGGCGAGCGCCGGAGCCGCCACCGUCGAGACUGUGCACCACGCAGCAGCCGAAGCAGUCUCUCAGCCGGCCGCACCGGCAGCGCCGAGCGAGCCCGCUUUUGCAGCUGCCACGGGUGCCCAGCCGCCGCGUCGUGGUCUGGCGAUGCUGAACGAGAUUCGAAAGCAUCCGGAAGGUUCCAUCGAGGAGAAGCCGCAUGUCAUUACGGAGCAACACAGCGAAGAGACGGCCACUCCCCAGAAGCAGUACCAUGAGCACACACAUGACCACCACGUCGAGAGCCAGGAGACUGAGAAGGCUCAUGAACACCACCACCAUCAUGACGCGGUGAGUGAGAAGGCCACGAGCAGCAGGUACAAGGCUUCAUCAGCCGAGGCAGAGACGGACGCCGCCGCGAGGAGCGACGACAUGUAUGACGCCAUCUACAACAACGGCUCGUUGUCAUCGCGGAAGACGGCGAUGGUGAAGGGCUACCGCAUUGAUGAGGUCGGUGCGCUAUGCAGCUCGUCGGAUGCCAUGUUUGCCCGACGUCUCCCGUCCGGCGGGUGCCAGUUCUUCGCAUGGCCUGGUACGCCGCUGCCCGUGGCAAGCUCGGCGAUUGUGUCGAUGCCGGACACGAUCCGCACUGUGCAUGCCGUCUUUGGCCGCGCCGGAACGCCGAUCGACAUUGUGAUGGAUAUCGACGCUCAGGUGCCGCAGGAGUAUUGGACAAUGUCGAAGAUUCGCGUCUAUCAGCGCAAGGUGCUAGAUGACGUGCUGACUCCGCUGAAGGAGGAGAUUGAGAAGAUUGGCGAGGAGAUCGAGACACAGGUUGUGCUGCAGUCACCGAACCUGAAGAAGGCGUCCUUUCACGUGCACACGCGGCUGAAGGAUGCGGCCUUCGCAGACUUCUACUCCCUCCACGGAUUUCUCUUCCGCUUUCAGGAUCGACUCCCGAAUGUCGACCUACAGAUUUAUCGGCCGAACGGCAUGCUACGCAUGUUCAGCUGUAUGAAGGAGAACCGCACGAGCGCCAUCAUCGUCUUUGACGAGCCCAAGUGGAAUAUCGGCUUUCCGGGCGGGAAGGUGAGCGACGAGCAGGCGGCGUUACACUCCAUCUGCGUGCGCGACCCGUCCACGUUCUCGCGCGUGCUUACCUUCGAGGCACCGCGGCAGCACAACAUGCCCGCGUACGGCGGCAGCAAGGGAGCGUGCGGCGACGGCAACGAAGGUGCCCUCCGGCCGCCGCAGGUGCUGCUGCCACGGACGGAGAAGGAGGCAAUUGAGAACGCGUCUCGAUGGCUGCGGCAGGCGACGGAGGUAGAGGUGGGAGAGUGGCGCACGUGGAUCGGCCUGGGGCUGUGCGCCUACCGUGUGGCCUACCAAUUCCGCAACGCCAGGAAUCUGCCUCGGCCGGCCAUGGCAGAGAUGCUCGACGCGUGGACGGAGGCAAGCCGCAAGUGCCCUCUCAAGUUCCACAGUGGCGAAUGCGAGGCGCGCUGGGCGGCCUUCGACCCCGAGAAGCUUGGCAGCUACUCCGACUGGUGGUCAGCGUACAAGCGCCUCGGUCGCUUAGAGGUGCCGAUGCGCGAAGCCAUGGAACGUGAGGCCGCGUUUGCCGCGCGGUGCGCCUCACGCUAUCAGGCUGCUCCGGCAGCUGAAGUGCCCCUCGCACCAGAGCCGCCGCAAUUCGCCGCUGCCGCUGGAAGCGUGACGUCGGCGUCGCGCAAGAUGAAGCAGCAGAAGAAGGCGUUCCGUCGAGCUUAGGAGGGUGCGCUCACGUAUGUGGUGGCUGGAUGUCGGCAUCCUCCUUGCCAUCCAAGCGUGUUUACAAAAAUUCCUUGCUGUCCGUAGCAUGAUGCCGAUCUCUUUGCUGUUGUUUAUGCUUCGUGUGCGAAGCCUCUCUGAGGGACCCCAUCGUGGUUGUCGACUUCCAGUGCCCCUCCCCGCCUCCCCCCGUUCUCAAUAUCUUCUGCCUACCGUUUCCUGUAAAAGCCGGGCUGCGGACUCCUCCCCUCUAUUUCUUUCGUGGAACGGGAUACGCUUGCCAUGCGGGAUGCGUUGAGGUUGUGUAUGUGUGUGUAUGUGCGUGCCGUCGUGGUGCGUGCGUGUGCGUGUAUUUUUUCGUUUUCGUGAUGGGGCUGUCGCGCACGUUCGUCUUUUUCCUUCGGUCGUUGUGUGGUAUCGGCCCGCUAGAGAUGGGCCGUCUUCAUUUUUCGUGUUUGCGCGAUGCCUUUUUCAAGUUUCACAGGCGCGCUCGCAUCAUAGAAGGCGCUUUCUUCGUGCCCCCCCCCCCUGUUCCCCCCGCGGCACUCCUUCACGUUCUCCCGCGCUUUUCUGUCGCCGCUGCACCUCCCCCUCUCCCUCCUCCUCGUCUUUCCUGAUGUGCACGCACUGGCGGAGAGAGCCACGCGUGAAUAAAAGGUGAAGCCGUGCUGUGAGAGAGAGAGACGACAGCGCCGGGGCAGCACACGAAGCGGACAGGAGUUGAGCCAAGAGAGGCGGCGCAUGGACAGUGUUGGGGACAGUGGGGACGUCGGGUGGACGAUGACGCACGCGUGUGCGUACGUUUGUGCGUGUGUGUGUAUGCUGCUUAGAGGUUUGCAUACGGGAGAUUUUUUUUUUUUGGAGUUGUCGCUUCUCUUCGAGUUCGGAGGGCGCUGCUGGAGGUGGUUCGUGACGGACUCGUUGAGGCCGAUGGAAGAAGUACCGAGAGGGAGGAGGGGGUGGGGACGGCAUGCGUGGCAGAAAAGUUUGUGAGGGAUUCGAUGCUGCGGCGUCGCGGUGGUAGUGGCGUUGCGCUCCACGUGAACUCGACAGCGUUUCCUCGCGUUGCUGUGUUUUUGCUCGCGUUCUUCUCCCUCUCCCACUUCGGAUCGACUGAGCCGCUUGUAUUCUCUCCUCUGCUCUGUUUUGUCUUGCCUUCGUCGCAGGUGGGAGAGUGGAGCGGGGCGUCCUUUCCGGUGAAAAGAGUGCUCCACGGUUGACUUGUGUAAGGCGGGCGCAUAGAGGUGCGCGUCUUGUUUGCGUGUACGCCUCUACGCCUCUCUACAUGGUGCUCGGCGAUGGCGGGGGCGUCCGUCUCUGUUUCAGCAUCGAAUUUCUUUGAAGAACAGCACAGAUGCCUCCCUCUCCUUGGUGGGAAGCGGUGACGGCGACAGUCGACGACCGCUGUGAUCACCCUCUGGGCGCGCACCUCUGUAGGCAUGUGCUGGGACGUUCCGGCGCAUUCACUUGCGCUCGUGUGCGAAGAACAAAGGUUAAGGUGAGGGUGGGGUGGGUGGGGGAUGGGAGAGUCAUCUGCAGCAGCCUCCUCAACAUACAUCCCAAUCACCAUUGCCACCCCACCGAUGAGCACGCGGAGCAUCUUUUUCUCUCUCUGUGCGAGUACGAGGGAGUUCACUUGCACACUGCGUGUGAGCGCGCGCUAACGGUCG
rnacentral:misc_RNA from 1 species